AGUCAGUCAGCCUCACUACCCUGGUCCCCCCAGUCAGUCAGCCUCACUACCCUGGUCCCCUCAGUCAGUCAGCCUCACUACCCUGGUCCCCCCAGUCAGUCAGCCUCACUACCCUGGUCCCCUCAGUCAGUCAGCCUCACUACCCUGGUCCCCUCAGUCAGUCAGCCUCACUACCCUGGU